CAGCUGCCUACAGCUGCCUACCUAGCCUAUGUUAAUGUCAGCGCUCAAGCCUGUGUUUGUUACAGCUCUGUGAAAAGGGAGGAGUGUUUGAAGGGAGUGAGAAGCAAGUUGAUUAGCACUAACGAGGGACAGGUGAGUGCGAUCAGAAGGCUAGGAAAGUGCUUGGAAAUAAAUGAGUGCAAGCAAAGAGAGAAUAAUUGAUGCGGCCCAGCCUGACCCAGACUCUACCUCCAGCGGCCCCCAGGAGGACCAUCACACCUGUGAUUGGCUUCGAAAUGCCCCAGCGACCGGCCGGCUGAGAUGCUGGCUGCACGAGGCGAAUGAGACGAGAUGGACACUAUCGCCUGGUUCUCCUCUAGAGGCUUUCUACGGAAUGGGAGACACAGAGGAGAUUUCCAAAAACAGGCCAGUCAAAGGCAUGACUUCAGUCUUAUAAAUGCCUCAGUUCGUCUCCCCUGACUGGGGGUUUUGGUGUACGAGCUUUUCAUCAUCAUUCCACACAGCUCCUCUCAUUUGGCCUGAGCUGUUGCCCUUGUUCCAUCUGCUCUCCUGUCGCGCAGGGUUGAAUCUACCCCCAGGAAUAUUCCCCCAUUCAUCUGUUUCGGUUUCACUAUGGUGAUUCGAAUUAUUUCAUUAAAAUCUGUUUUUUGUGGCUUUGCUCUUCCUCGAGGAUCUUCAGAGGAGCUAAAGCUUUUCCAGUUAUUGAGGAGAACGGACGUGCUUGUGUUUUUUAUUACGAUAUUCCUUAUUUUGCUUAUUAAUUCUAGGGAUUUAUUAUUAAGAUUUAUGCCAACCAUGCCCAAGGAGGGAUUCUAACCAACGCUGUCAAUUUCGACCACUAUCCAAUGUUUUCUAUAUUUUGUUGCAAACUAGACAGACUUCAAACUGAGUAUAGAAUAAAUAAAUUUGUUGUGUUUUUUUAAUCUUUUUUUGUUGAUCCCUUCAGACUCUCUGGAAUGUAAAGCAGAUUUUUUCCGAAAUCGUAAACAACGUAGCGUCUCUCAGUUAAG
ensembl:lncRNA